rnacentral:pre_miRNA from 1 species
AGCUUUCUGAACCAGUGACGAGAUUUCGACGUUCACCUGAACAUCAGUACUGAUGAGACUCCCAAGAUAUGUGAAACG